AUGUGGAGCCGUAGCGAAAGCGAGUCUGAAUAGGGCGUUGAGUAUUUGGUCGUAGACCCGAAACCAGGUGAUCUACCCAUGGUCAGGUUGAAGUUCAGGUAACACUGAAUGGAGGACCGAACCGACUUACGUUGAAAAGUGAGCGGAUGAACUGUGGGUAGCGGAGAAAUUCCAAUCGAACUUGGAGAUAGCUGGUUCUCUCCGAAAUAGCUUUAGGGCUAGCCUCAAGUGAUGAUUAUUGGAGGUAGAGCACUGUUUGGACGAGGGGCCCCUCUCGGGUUACCGAAUUCAGACAAACUCCGAAUGCCAAUUAAUUUAACUUGGGAGUCAGAACAUGGGUGAUAAGGUCCGUGUUCGAAAGGGAAACAGCCCAGACCACCAGCUAAGGUCCCAAAAUAUAUGUUAAGUGGAAAAGGAUGUGGCGUUGCCCAGACAACUAGGAUGUUGGCUUAGAAGCAGCCAUCAUUUAAAGAGUGCGUAAUAGCUCACUAGUCGAGUGACACUGCGCCGAAAAUGUACCGGGGCUAAACAUAUUACCGAAGCUGUGGAUUGUCCUUUGGACAAUGGUAGGAGAGCGUUCUAAGGGCGUUGAAGCAUGAUCGCAAGGACAUGUGGAGCGCUUAGAAGUGAGAAUGCCGGUGUGAGUAGCGAAAGACGGGUGAGAAUCCCGUCCACCGAUUGACUAAGGUUUCCAGAGGAAGGCUCGUCCGCUCUGGGUUAGUCGGGUCCUAAGCUGAGGCCGACAGGCGUAGGCGAUGGAUAACAGGUUGAUAUUCCUGUACCACCUAUAAUCGUUUUAAUCGAUGGGGGGACGCAGUAGGAUAGGCGAAGCGUACGAUUGGAUUGUACGUCUAAGCAGUGAGAUUGAGUGUUAGGCAAAUCCGGCACUCUUAAGAUUGAGCUGUGAUGGGGAGAGGAAAUUGUUUCCUCGAGUCGUUGAUUUCACACUGCCGAGAAAAGCCUCUAGAUAGAGAUUAGGUGCCCGUACCGCAAACCGACACAGGUAGUCAAGAUGAGAAUUCUAAGGUGAGCGAGCGAACUCUCGUUAAGGAACUCGGCAAAAUGACCCCGUAACUUCGGGAGAAGGGGUGCUCUUUAGGGUGCAAGCCCAGAAGAGCCGCAGUGAAUAGGCCCAAGCGACUGUUUAUCAAAAACACAGGUCUCUGCUAAACCGUAAGGUGAUGUAUAGGGGCUGACGCCUGCCCGGUGCUGGAAGGUUAAGAGGAGUGGUUAGCUUCUGCGAAGCUACGAAUCGAAGCCCCAGUAAACGGCGGCCGUAACUAUAACGGUCCUAAGGUAGCGAAAUUCCUUGUCGGGUAAGUUCCGACCCGCACGAAAGGCGUAACGAUUUGGGCACUGUCUCAACGAGAGACUCGGUGAAAUCAUAGUACCUGUGAAGAUGCAGGUUACCCGCGACAGGACGGAAAGACCCCGUGGAGCUUUACUGUAGCCUGAUAUUGAAAUUCGGCACAGCUUGUACAGGAUAGGUAGGAGCCUUUGAAACGUGAGCGCUAGCUUACGUGGAGGCGUUGGUGGGAUACUACCCUAGCUGUGUUGGCUUUCUAACCCGCACCACUUAUCGUGGUGGGAGACAGUGUCAGGCGGGCAGUUUGACUGGGGCGGUCGCCUCCUAAAAGGUAACGGAGGCGCUCAAAGGUUCCCUCAGAAUGGUUGGAAAUCAUUCAUAGAGUGUAAAGGCAUAAGGGAGCUUGACUGCGAGACCUACAAGUCGAGCAGGGUCGAAAGACGGACUUAGUGAUCCGGUGGUUCCGCAUGGAAGGGCCAUCGCUCAACGGAUAAAAGCUACCCCGGGGAUAACAGGCUUAUCUCCCCCAAGAGUUCACAUCGACGGGGAGGUUUGGCACCUCGAUGUCGGCUCAUCGCAUCCUGGGGCUGUAGUCGGUCCCAAGGGUUGGGCUGUUCGCCCAUUAAAGCGGUACGCGAGCUGGGUUCAGAACGUCGUGAGACAGUUCGGUCCCUAUCCGUCGUGGGCGUAGGAAAUUUGAGAGGAGCUGUCCUUAGUACGAGAGGACCGGGAUGGACAUACCUCUGGUGUACCAGUUGUCGUGCCAACGGCAUAGCUGGGUAGCUAUGUAUGGACGGGAUAAGUGCUGAAAGCAUCUAAGCAUGAAGCCCCCCUCAAGAUGAGAUUUCCCAACUUCGGUUAUAAGAUCCCUCAGAGAUGAUGAGGUUAAUAGGUUCGAGGUGGAAGCGUGGUGACACGUGGAGCUGACGAAUACUAAUCGAUCGAAGACUUAAUC
rnacentral:rRNA from 1 species